rnacentral:rRNA from 1 species
AACGGGUGAGUAUAAUGUGGGAAUCUGCCUUUUGGUUUGGAAUAACACGGGGAAACUUGUGCUAAUACCGAAUAAGCCCUUACGGGGAAAGUUUUAACGCCGAAAGAUGAGCCCGCACUUGAUUAGCUAGUUGGUAAGGUAAAAGCUUACCAAGGCAACGAUCAAUAGCUGUUCUUAGAGGAAGACCAGCCACAUUGGGACUGAGACACGGCCCAGACUCCUACGGGAGGCAGCAGUGGGGAAUCUUGCACAAUGGGGGAAACCCUGAUGCAGCGAUGCCGCGUGAGUGAAGAAGGCCCUUGGGUUGUAAAACUCUUUCGUCGGGGAAGAAAAUGAC